AAUAGAUACCCUGGUAGUCCACGCCGUAAACGAUGUCGACUUGGAGGUUGUUCCCUUGAGGAGUGGCUUCCGGAGCUAACGCGUUAAGUCGACCGCCUGGGGAGUACGGCCGCAAGGUUAAAGCUCAAAUGAAUUGACGGGGGCCCGCACAAGCGGUGGAGCAUGUGGUUUAAUUCGAUGCAACGCGAAGAACCUUACCUACUCUUGACAUCCAGAGAACUUAGCAGAGAUGCUUUGGUGCCUUCGGGAACUCUGAGACAGGUGCUGCAUGGCUGUCGUCAGCUCGUGUUGUGAAAUGUUGGGUUAAGUCCCGCAACGAGCGCAACCCUUAUCCCUUGUUGCCAGCGGUUCGGCCGGGAACUCAAAGGAGACUGCCAGUGAUAAACUGGAGGAAGGUGGGGAUGACGUCAAGUCAUCAUGGCCCUUACGAGUAGGGCUACACACGUGCUACAAUGGCGUAUACAAAGAGAAGCGACCUCGCGAGAGCAAGCGGACCUCAUAAAGUACGUCGUAGUCCGGAUUGGAGU
rnacentral:rRNA from 1 species